GGAAGGGUGGCCGAGCGGUUGAAGGCGCAGAUCUGGAAAGUCUGUUUCCGAUUUUAUCGGAACGAGGGUUCGAAUCCCUCCCCUUCCGCCA
rnacentral:tRNA from 2 species